rnacentral:rRNA from 1 species
ACGAACGCUGGCGGCGCGCCUAAUACAUGCAAGUCGAGCGAGAAGACGUAGCAAUACGUUUGUAAAGCGGCGAACGGGUGAGGAAUACAUGGGUAACCUACCCUCGAGUGGGGAAUAACUAGCCGAAAGGUUAGCUAAUACCGCGUACGCUCCUUGGACUUCGGUUCAGGAGGAAAGCGAUACCGUGGGUAUCGCGCUCUUGGAUGGGCUCAUGUCCUAUCAGCUUGNGGUGAGGUAACGGCUCACCAAGGCUUCGACGGGUAGCUGGUCUGAGAGGACGAUCAGCCACACU